ACGCUGGCGGCAGCGCCUAACACAUGCAAGUCGAGCGGCAGCGGGAAAGUAGCUUGCUACUUUUGCCGGCGAGCGGCGGACGGGUGAGUAAUGCCUGGGGAUCUGCCCAGUCGAGGGGGAUAACUACUGGAAACGGUAGCUAAUACCGCAUACGCCCUACGGGGGAAAGCAGGGGACCUUCGGGCCUUGCGCGAUUGGAUGAACCCAGGUGGGAUUAGCUAGUUGGUGAGGUAAUGGCUCACCAAGGCGACGAUCCCUAGCUGGUCUGAGAGGAUGAUCAGCCACACUGGAACUGAGACACGGUCCAGACUCCUACGGGAGGCAGCAGUGGGGAAUAUUGCACAAUGGGGGAAACCCUGAUGCAGCCAUGCCGCGUGUGUGAAGAAGGCCUUCGGGUUGUAAAGCACUUUCAGCGAGGAGGAAAGGUUGGUAGCUAAUAACUGCCAGCUGUGACGUUACUCGCAGAAGAAGCACCGGCUAACUCC
rnacentral:rRNA from 1 species